UGUUUGAGUGCACCUGGGU
rnacentral:miRNA from 1 species